AAAAAGGCUCUUAGAGCCACAUACCAUACACACAAAGGCCUUCU
rfam:Mus musculus chromosome 7, GRC primary reference assembly.